rnacentral:tRNA from 1 species
CAAGACGUAGCUAUAACACCCAAAGCAUUCAGCUUACACCUGAAAGAUAUCUGCUAAACCAGAUCGUCUUGA